GACGAACGCUGGCGGCGUGCUUAACACAUGCAAGUCGAACGGAAAGGCCCUGCUUUUGUGGGGUGCUCGAGUGGCGAAAGGGUGAGUAACACGUGAGUAACCUGCCCUUGACUUUGGGAUAACUUCAGGAAACAGGGGCUAAUACCGGAUAGGAGCUCCUGCUGCAUGGUGGGGGUUGGAAAGUGUCGGCGGUUGGGGAUGGACUCGCGGCGUAUCCGCUAGAUGGGGGGGUAGCGGCGUAACCAGGCUUUGAUGGGUAGCCGGCCUGAGAGGGUGAUCCGCCACACUGGAACUGAGACACGGUCCAGACUCCUACGGGAGGCAGCAGUAGGCAAUCUUCCGCAAUGGGCGAAAGCCUGACGGAGCAACGCCGCGGGAGUGAUGAAGGUCUUCGGAUCGUAAAACUCUGUUAGUAGGGAAGAAAAUAUGUGUAAGUAACUGUGCACAUCUUGACGGUACCUAAUCAGAAAGCCACGGCUAACUACGUG
rnacentral:rRNA from 1 species